rnacentral:rRNA from 1 species
UACGGGGGGGGCAAGCGUUGUUCGGAAUUACUGGGCGUAAAGGGCGCGUAGGCGGCCUGCUAAGUCGGACGUGAAAUCCCUCGGCUCAACCGGGGAACUGCGUCCGAUACUGGCGAGGCUUGAAUCCGGGAGAGGGAUGUGGAAUUCCAGGUGUAGCGGUGAAAUGCGUAGAUAUCUGGAGGAGCACCAGUGGCGAAGGCGGCUCACUGGCCCGGUACUGACGCUGAGGUGCGAAAGCGUGGGGAGCAAACAGG